GAGGGUGUAGCUCAAGCGGUAGAGCGCAUGCUUAGCAUGCACAAGGUCCUGAGUUCAAUCCCCAGUACCUCCU
rnacentral:tRNA from 1 species